AGCUUUGCGCAGUGGCAGUAUCGUAGCCAAUGAGGUUUAUCCGAGGUGCGAUUAUUGCUAAUUAAACAAUCUUAACUUCCCUCUCAAGAUAGAGUUUAUGGGUAAGAAACUCCCGGUCUCAAUGUUCCAAUGACCCAACUUUCU